UCGAACGAGAUUGCUCUUGUAGCAAUACAAGAGCGGUCUAGUGGCGCAAGGGUGCGUAACACGUGGGGAAUCUACCGAGAAGUGGGGGAUAGCUCGCCGAAAGGCGAAUUAAUACCGCAUGUGGUUAAGGAAGACAUCUUCCUAACACCAAAGCCGGGGCAACCUGGCGCUUUUUGAUGACCCCGCGGCCUAUCAGCUAGUUGGUGAGGUAACGGCUCACCAAGGCUAUGACGGGUAGCUGGUCUGAGAGGACGACCAGCCACACUGGAACUGAGACACGGUCCAGACACCUACGGGUGGCAGCAGUCGAGAAUUUUUCUCAAUGGGGGAAACCCUGAAGGAGCGACGCCGCGUGGAGGAUGAAGGUCUUCGGAUUGUAAACUCCUGUCAUUAGGGAACAAUGUGCAGCCGUUAACUGCGGUUGCAUUGAUAGUACCUGAAGAGGAAGAGACGGCUGACUCUGUGCCAGCAGCCGCGGUAAUACAGAGGUCUCAAGCGUUG
rnacentral:rRNA from 1 species